rnacentral:misc_RNA from 1 species
GGUGGCAACAAUCUCACGGACUAAUUAUUCAAGGAGGAUUCAAGAAACAGGCUAUUGAUGACUAUGUGGCACAUUGUAAUAUUCAAUUGAGAGACAACGCCGACAUAAUGAUGAAAAAGAUGACGAAUCACGCGGUGCCAUUCAUCAUUUUUUCCGCCGGAAUCGGAACAAUCAUCGAAAUGUACCUCCGACAUAAAUUCGGCCGAGUCGAAUCGAACACCCAUGUCGUGUCGAAUAUGAUGGGAUUCGACGACGACGGAUAUGUUAACUCGUUCUCCGAUCCUCUGAUCCAUGUUUUCUGCAAGAAUUCAUCGGUUAUGCCGGCGGAUCGCACGUUUUCCGAGCAAAUUGAGGGAAGGAAGAAUGUGAUUCUGUUGGGUGAUAGUGUUGGAGACGCUUUUAUGGAUGUUGGUGUUGAGGAGGAACAAGUUUCACUCAAAAUCGGAUUUGUUAAUCAUGAUGCUGACAAGCUCGUCGACAAAUAUCUCAACUAUUUUGACAUUGUCCUCGUGGACGAUCAAUCGAUGGAUAUUCCCAAUCAGAUUUUGGAGGCGAUUUAUAAUAAUAAAAAUUACUGA